rnacentral:rRNA from 1 species
UACGUAGGGUGCGAGCGUUGUCCGGAAUUAUUGGGCGUAAAGAGCGUGUAGGCGGCCAGGUAGGUCUGCUGUGAAAACUCGAGGCUCAACCUCGAGAUGUCGGCGGAAACCAUCUGGCUAGAGUCCGGAAGAGGAGAAUGGAAUUCCCGGUGUAGCGGUGAAAUGCGCAGAUAUCGGGAAGAACACCCGUGGCGAAGGCGGUUCUCUGGGACGGUACUGACGCUGAGACGCGAAAGCGUGGGGAGCGAACAGG